AAAAAACUAGUUAAUUCUAUAACCUAAGAAUGUCAUUCUUAAAUAACCCCUUGGUGUUUUUUA
rnacentral:tRNA from 1 species